UGGAUAUGAUGACUGAUUAUCUGAAAUGAUUGCUGAUGAAACUGUUGUCAAAUUCCUCUAGAUAGUCAAGUGCUGAUCCAG
ensembl:snoRNA SNORD20 small nucleolar RNA, C/D box 20